GGAAGUAAAAGCCGUAACAAGGUCUCCGUUGGUGAACCAGGGGAGGGAUCAUUACCAGAGUUUUACAACUCCCAACCCUUCUAUGAACCUACCUAUCGUUGCUUCGGCGGACUCGCCCCAGCGUCCGGACGGCCCCGCGCCGGCCCGCGACCUGGACCCAGGCGGCCGCCGGAGACCACACAAUCCUGUAUCCAUCAGUCUCUCUGAAUCCGCCGCAAGGCAAAACAAACGAAUCAAAACUUUCAACAAUGGAUCUCUUGGUUCUG
rnacentral:misc_RNA from 1 species